GAUGAACGCUGGCGGCGUGCCUAAUACAUGCAAGUCGAGCGGACAGACGAGGAGCUUGCUCCUCUGACGUUAGCGGCGGACGGGUGAGUAACACGUGGAUAACCUACCUAUAAGACUGGGAUAACUUCGGGAAACCGGAGCUAAUACCGGAUAAUAUAUUGAACCGCAUGGUUCAAUAGUGAAAGACGGUUUUGCUGUCACUUAUAGAUGGAUCCGCGCCGCAUUAGCUAGUUGGUAAGGUAACGGCUUACCAAGGCAACGAUGCGUAGCCGACCUGAGAGGGUGAUCGGCCACACUGGAACUGAGACACGGUCCAGACUCCUACGGGAGGCAGCAGUAGGGAGUCUUCCGCAAUGGGCGAAAGCCUGACGGAGCAACGCCGCGUGAGUGAUGAAGGUCUUCGGAUCGUAAAACUCUGUUAUUAGGGAAGAACAAAUGUGUAAGUAACUAUGCACGUCUUGACGGUACCUAAUCAGAAAGCCACGGCUAACUACGUG
rnacentral:rRNA from 1 species